GGCAGUUCUUGGGUGACACAUCCCGAAAUCGGGCUCCCUCCUCUAUGGUUCCGGUGUCACCCGAGAACUGUA
rfam:Myotis lucifugus cont2.29556, whole genome shotgun sequence.